rnacentral:rRNA from 1 species
UACGUAGGGGGCAAGCGUUAUCCGGAUUUACUGGGUGUAAAGGGAGCGUAGACGGAAUAGCAAGUUUGGAGUGAAAACCUUAAGCUUAACUUAAGAAUUGCUUUGAAAACUGUUAAUCUAGAGUACUGGAGGGGUAUGGGGAAUUUCUAGUGUAGUGGUAAAAUGCGUAGAUAUUAGGAAGAACACCGGAGGCGAAGGCGCCAUACUGGACAGAUACUGACGUUGAGGCUCGAAAGCGUGGGGAGCAAAC